UCAGCUCUUUCUGCAGAUGAUGGGACUUCAACUAUUUUUCAGCUAUUUAUACCUUUCCAAAUAUUAAGCUUUUAAACAUUUUAUUUUAACAUUAAAGUCAAUGAGAGCAAGCUUCAAAUCCUUCAAAUCUUCUUCUGCUCCCAAAUUUUUCAGCGCCUUCAUACUUUCACCUACAGACACCAAACACACUUUAAAA